AAGAUAUUAGUAAACAGUAUUUACUUAUUCUAUAUAUAAUAGUAAGUUCCAGCGUGGCCUCACAGAAGAAACUGUGACCAACGUGGCAGUCAAAGUGUUAAAAAAACACCGAAACAGCUAGAAUUCCUGUACUACACAUGCGAGUGGAAGUAAAGUUCAAAUCUCCACAAUGUAAAAACUUGUCGAAUUGUCUGGAAAUUGAGAUACAAAAGCGCGACGCUGACCAGAAUCGAAAUGAAAUUAGAAAUACAAUGGAGAAUAAAGGCCCAAAGCGACACGAUUAUUAUGAAGCCGACCUUUCGAAUUAAUAGACGCGGAUCGUAUCUCAUCGACCGUAUCGCACGGCCAGUUACGACUUCGAAGAGAUCGUCGCGGGGACGCCGACAACAACGACGACGACGAUGCGUCACCGAGUUCCCGGAGAAAAUUACGAACUUUCUCGUGGUUCUCUCUAGUUUAAGGUGUCCGCUGAUGAGACUCGUGGGAGUCGACCGAUAUCCCAGCUACCGUUCAUCAUCGAGCCGACAAUUGUCUGCAACUACUGGAUCUUCGAUGCGACGAAUAAAAUCGGAGCAACGAUGGUGAUAGUCUAAAGCUAAAUUACAAAGCUACA